AUUGAACGCUGGCGGCAGGCCUAACACAUGCAAGUCGAACGGUAACAGGAAGCAGCUUGCUGCUUUGCUGACGAGUGGCGGACGGGUGAGUAAUGUCUGGGAAACUGCCCGAUGGAGGGGGAUAACUACUGGAAACGGUAGCUAAUACCGCAUAACGUCGCAAGACCAAAGAGGGGGACCUUAGGGCCUCUUGCCAUCGGAUGUGCCCAGAUGGGAUUAGCUAGUAGGUGGGGUAACGGCUCACCUAGGCGACGAUCCCUAGCUGGUCUGAGAGGAUGACCAGCCGCACUGGAACUGAGACACGGUCCAGACUCCUACGGGAGGCAGCAGUGGGGAAUAUUGCACAAUGGGCGCAAGCCUGAUGCAGCCAUGCCGCGUGUAUGAAGAAGGCCUUCGGGUUGUAAAGUACUUUCAGCGGGGAGGAAGGGAGUAAAGUUAAUACCUUGGCUCAUUGACGUUACCCGCAGAAGAAGCACCGGCUAACUCCGUG
rnacentral:rRNA from 1 species